CUUCUCAUUAGAUCACCGAAGUCAAGCAUCAUUGGGCGCGGUCAGUACUUGGGUGGGUGACCACCUGGGAACACCGCGUACCGUU
rnacentral:rRNA from 1 species